rnacentral:rRNA from 1 species
GUAAUGUCUGGGAAACUGCCUGAUGGAGGGGGGAGUAACUACUGGAAACGGUAGCUAAUACCGCAUAACGUCGCAAGACCAAAGAGGGGGACCUUCGGGCCUCUUGCCAUCGGAUGUGCCCAGAUGGGAUUAGCUAGUAGGUGGGGUAACGGCUCACCUAGGCGACGAUCCCUAGCUGGUCUGAGAGGAUGACCAGCCACAUUGGAACUGAGACACGGUCCAGACUCCUACGGGAGGCAGCAUG